rnacentral:sRNA from 1 species
CUUCGUACGCUUGUUGAGGACAAAUCAAGUGGAUGUGUGAAUCGAAGCCGCCCGCUGUGACGAUCAUGCCUUCGCUAGCAAUGACAUCCGUGCCGUUCCCUACAAUCAUGUUGGGGUGUACGCCGUCCAUGACAUCGGGAUUACCUGCCUUGCCGAUGCCGGAGAUGAUGCCCUCCUUAAUGCCAAUGUCCGCUUUAUAGAUACCCGUCCAGUCGACAAUGAGCGCGUUGACAAUGACAGUGUCGAGUACCUCCUCGUCUUUGCGACCGCUCGCUUGUCCCAUGCCUUCACGGAG